rnacentral:pre_miRNA from 1 species
AGUGGAAUUGAUGGGUCAUAUGGUCACCCUACAUUUCAUAUUUUGAGGAAUUGACAGACUGUUUUCCAAUACCACUGUACCACUUUACAUUCUCAUUAGCAGU